UAGGGAAUCUUCGGCAAUGGACGAAAGUCUGACCGAGCAACGCCGCGUGAGUGAAGAAGGUUUUCGGAUCGUAAAACUCUGUUGUUAGAGAAGAACAAGGACGUUAGUAACUGAACGUCCCCUGACGGUAUCUAACCAGAAAGCCAUGGCUAACUACAUGCCAGCAGCCGAGGUAAUACGUAGGUGGCAAGCGUUGUCCGGAUUUAUUGGGCGUAAAGCGAGCGCAGGCGGUUUCUUAAGUCUGAUGUGAAAGCCCCCGGCUCAACCGGGGAGGGUCAUUGGAAACUGGGAGACUUGAGUGCAGAAGAGGAGAGUGUAUUUCCGUGUGUAGCGGUUAAAUGCGUAGAUAUAUGGAGGAACACCAGUAGCGAAGGCGGCUCUCUGGUCUGUAACUGACGCUGAGGCUCGAUAGCGUGGGGAGCAAACAGG
rnacentral:rRNA from 1 species